rfam:Paenibacillus sp. Soil522 contig_35, whole genome shotgun sequence.
ACAUUAUUAACGCUGAAUUUUUCGAAUGAAAAAGCGGGGGAACCAACGCGUACGUUCGAUAACGUUUCGCAAGGGGUGAAUCCAGGGAUUUGUAACCCUGGUAGGGCAUUCUCUCUAGCCCGAAUCCGGCAGCUAACCUCGUAAGCGAACAAAGGAGAGAUU